AUACGGAGGAUCCGAGCGUUAUCCGGAUUUAUUGGGUUUAAAGGGUGCGCAGGCGGCCAUUUAAGUCAGCGGUUAAAUCGUGGGGCUCAACCCCAUUCUGCCGUUGAUACUGGGUGGCUUGAUUGCGGUCGAGGUUGGCGGAAUUCGUUGUGUAGCGGUGAAAUGCAUAGAUAUGACGAAGAACACCGAUUGCGUAGGCAGCUGACCAGACCGCAAAUGACGCUCAUGCACGAAAGUGCGGGGAUCGAACAGGAUUAGAUACCCUGGUAGUCCGCACAGUAAACGAUGAAUACUUGUUUUCGGCGAUAUAAUGUCGGAGGCAAAGCGAAAGCGAUAAGUAUUCCACCUGGGGAGUACGCCGGCAAUGGUGAAACUCAAAGGAAUUGACGGGG
rnacentral:rRNA from 1 species